GACUCUAUAGUUUAAUAAAAACAUUUACCUGUGGCGUAAAAGAUGGAAGAUCCUAGAGUCU
rnacentral:tRNA from 1 species